AUUUUCUUCACGCUCGAAGGUCACGGAGAUCAUUACGAAAAACGUGUAAUUCGACGGCGGAGAGGUUGGGUGAGGACGACACGUGUUACCUCAUUAUCAAGCAGGUACAAUAGCCGCAAGGCGUGAGAGGUGAAUCAGGGUGAGGAAAAGUCGUAUAUAAGGAGAGAGAAAAGGUGUUUGGAAGCAGUUGAGUGAGCAUCUCCGACACGGCAACAUCUGCUGUGCACUAUUUGUCACUAACUGCAUUCUUCAUUGUGUAAUUAGUUCGUAAUCAAAGUAAUCAUGAUUUAAGUACAGUAUGGCGCAAUGCUGCUGUUGGAUGUUGCAUCGUUGAUGGCUGGGUCGACAAAGCUCUGGUUAACCGAUGUCUCCUGGGUAUGGCGAAUAUUGAAUCACACCAUGUCCGUCUUGUUACUCAAUAUCAACCAACACAUCUCCGGCUUACUUUUUCAUCACCAGUUUGCAAUUACGGAUUUAUGCUGUUCUUGAUUGUUGUCUUCAAAUACUACACCAUCCAGGCACCAGAGUAUUACACUACAACUAUUGCUGGCCCAGUCCCGAAUACUUCACUAAGCCCCUGGAAUACUACAUUACAUCCUACGUUGCCCCAGCUUACUACACUACAACAUACGCAGCCUCAGCUCACCACCCCGCAGCUCCCCACUAUUACACCUCCAAGGCAACUGAGUACUACACGACUGCUUGUGCUGCUCCAACCUUCUAUAUAUAGACUCAAGUAAUACUCUGCUUCAGUUACCCCACCGAGGCUCCAACUUACUAAAAUAAAAAAAAAAGGAAGAUAGAAAAAAGGAAGGAAUUUUUGUUGUGUUCCCAUCCUCAGCAACGUCAACUUGCAGAAGGAAAGGCCAGUUUUCACUUUCGAAGGUAAAUACCCACAAGGCUUAGGAGGUGAGGGUGAGAAAAUAAUUCGUAUAAAAUGAGAGAGAAAAGGAUACAGACAUCAAUUGAGUGAGCAUCACCGACACGUCAACAACUGCUGUGAACUACCUGUAUCAACUGGCUUCUUCAUCGCAUUACCAGCUCGCAGCAAUUAUUCGCAGUUAUGGUCAACUUUAAUGUCGUGCUGCUGUCGGAUGUUGUAUCGUUGAUGGCUGGGUCGACCACUAGUGUACCAAUGUCUUUUGGGUACGGAUACCAAACCGCAAUGCCGACGCCCUACUACACAACAACCAUUUCGCAAUCAUGGUAAAUUAUGGCGUAAUGCUGCUGUUGGAUGUUGCCCGUUGAUGGCUGGGUCAACAACUGGUGUACCGAUGUCUCCUAGGUAUGGCGAAUAUUGAAGCACAGCAUAUCCGUCUUAUUACUCAACAUCACCGACGCUGCUUCAGCUUACUACACCAAGGCUCCAAAGUACUCCACCACCAAUGUUCCAGAGUAUUACAAGUUGAAUCGCAGGAGAGAAAAGGUGAAAUAAUCAGUCGAGUGAUAAUCUCCAACACGACAGCAACUAUUUGGCUUUGCACUAUUUGUCGUCAACUGCAUUCUUCGUCGUAUCACCAGUAUGCAAUCACGGGCCGAAACUAUGGCGUUAUACUGCUAUUGAUUGUUGUCCUCAAGUACUUCACCACCGAGGUUCCAGAAAAUUUCACUGCAAUUUAUGCUGCCCCCCAGCUGCAGUACCAAAGAGCCUGAGUACUACACCGUGGCUUCCAAGUACUAUACCACCAAGGCACCGAAGUUAUACACGACUACGUAUGCUGCCCCAACCUGCUAAACCGUGACUCAAAAGUGUUACUCUGCUUCAGUUACUACACCGAGGCUCCAACUUACUGUACCACCAAAGCUGCUGAAUACUAUACCGAAGCGCCCAAGUACUACACCUCCAAGGCUACAGAAUGUUACACCCAUGCUGCAUCGAGCUACUACACCGCAGCACCGAAGUAUUAUUGUGCCCAGAACCCGAGUACUUCACCGAGGUUCUGGAUGACUACACUACAACCUACGUUGCCCCAGCUCACUACACCGUGGCUCCCAAGUACUACAACAACGAAUCACCUGAGCACGACUACGUGUGCUGCCUCAACCUACUACACCGAGACUCCCAAGUAUUACUCUGCUUCAGUUACUACACCGAGGUUCCUACUUACUUCACGGCCAAAACGGGUGAAUACUACGCCGAAACGCCUAAAUACUACUCUGUCCCGAGCUACACAACCACAACGCGCGGCGGCGGAGUAUUUCGUAGCCCCAAAUCAUUACCCAAUGUGAACCACCUGUAUCAACUGGCUUCUUCAUCGCAUUACCAGCUCGCAACAAUUGUUCGCAGUUAUGGUCAACUUUAAUGUCGUGCUGCUGUCGGAUGUUGUAUCGUUGAUGGCUGGGUCCACCACUAGUGUACCAAUGUCUUUUGGGUAUCGAAACCGGAUACCAAACCGCGACUUACCGACGUCCUACUACACAACAGCAACAUACGCUUCAGCCGGUUAUUACAUCAAGGCGCCAAGGAAUUACACCACAACUUAUGAUGCCCCGAUCUACUGUAACGAACGCCCUGAAUUACAGAUAUCCUUCAGUUGCUGCAAGCAUUGGCAUGGGGUGAAGCCAGAAAUGGAAACAAAUAUGGGCCCAACGGUGUUGCUUUAAUUCUCUCGUGUCUCUACACACUUAAUGUCUGAAAUAUUUGAAUAAUUUUAUGUGAGGUUUGAAGUAGAAAGGGCAGGGAAAACAUUUUGGCUUAGGAAAAAAAGUGCUUUCGACUUAUUUUAAGGGAAGUUCUACACAACAAGGCAUUUAAACAUGUGUGGUUUUGUAUUGGAAUGUGUGUGGGUUAUGGGCUGCCAAAUCUUUUCCAAUAAUUCUCUUGAAUAGUAUAAACCAUGAAGCGUUGUUACUUCACUAGCACAUGACUUUGUGUAAGGACUAUUGAGUUUUUACAUGUUAAGUCAUUUUUUUAAUCAUUCUCAUUUUUCCAAUUUCAAUUGCUGUUUAUAAAGUGAGAUUUAAGACAAAACCAUUUGGUGUUAAUUUUGAUAUUGGUUGUUGACUUGUUGUAGACAUAUUCCAAAGUGCAAAAAGGCUUUCACAUUCGGAGGUCACGGAAAUCAUUACGUAAAACGUGUCAUGUAGUGGUGUAGGGGUUGGGUAAGAACGGCGCGUGUUUCAUAAUUAUCAAGGAGGUAGAAAAGCCGCAAGUCUUAAGAGUUGAGUUAGGGUAAGAAAAAAUCGUAUAAAAGGAGAGAAGAGGUGAUAGAGAUCAGUCGAGUGAGCAUCUCCGACUUGGCAACAUCUGCACUCUUCCAAUUCUCAAUGAUAGUUAACUGGUUUCGUGCUGCUUUUGAAUGUUGUGCCUUGAAUGUUGCUGUCUUACUACACAACAUACGUAACGACCUGUUGCUACAACGGGACUCCAACUACUACACCGAAAAGGCUGAAUGUUACACAAGGACGUAUGCUACCCCAGUUUACUACACCGAGAAACCUAAGCAUAACUCUGCUCUGAGCUACGACAGAGGUUUCUGUUUACUACACCACCAUCGCCCUCGAGUGUUACGCUGCCCCCAACCGCUACACUGAAAUUCCGAAGUACUACACCAUCGAAGGAAAACCAAUUCGCAUUCAUGGAUUACUAUGGUGUUGUGCUGCGGUGGUGUUGCUGAGUGUUGUAUUGUGAUGGCUGGGUCGACCAUGGGUGUACCGAUGUCUUCUGGUUAUGGUGGUUUUCAAGUACUAGAAGCUAUAGUUAGUAGCUAGCAGCCAAGUACACCACGUUGCUGCCUUAGUACUUAACAACGUCUACAUUCGCAGCACCUACUUAGUACACUGAUGUUCGUAAAUACUGCACAUCCAAGGUUCCUAGAGUACUUCACGAAUAUCUACGCUGCUCCGAGAUAAUGCACGGAAGUAUCACUCUACCCCGAGUUACAUCAACAAAACGUCUGAAUACUACACUGACGAAAUACUACACCACCAAAGCUAAGUAUUACACCGAGGCUGCUGCUUAUUAAACCAACAAAGCGGUUGAGUACCGAGGGGUCCAAGUACUACACUUCAACCUACUGCAGAGCAGUAUUUGUCAACAACUGCCAUAAUCGUAUGAAACAAUUGUGGCUAACUAUGGUGUUGUGCGGUGGGUUUUGCAUCGUUUAUGGCUGGGUCGACAACUGGUGUAUCGAUGUCUCCUGAUUUACUACACCAAGGCUCCAAAGUACUCCACCACCAAUGUUCCAGAGUACAAGCUGAAUCGCAGGAGAGAAAAGGUGAAAUGAUCAGUGAGUGAUUAUCUCCAACGCGGCAACAACAACUGCUGUGCACUAUUUGUCAUCAACUUCUUUAUUCAUCGUAUCACAAGUGUGCAAUCACGGUAUACAAUGGUGUUUUGCUGCUAUUGAUUGUUGUCCUCAAGUGCUACACCACCAAGGCACUGAAGUUAUACACAUCUACGUCAGCUGCCCUAACCUGGUAAAACGGGACUUCAAAGUAAUACUCUUCUUCAUCAGUUAUUACACCGAGGCUCCAACUUACUGUGCCACCAAAGCAGCUGAAUACUAUACCGAAGUGCCUAAAUACUACACAUCCAAGGCUACAGAAUAGUUCACCAUAUCUUAUUCUGCCUCGAGCUACUUCACCGCCCUAAAGUAUUAUUCUGCACCGAGCCUGAGUACCUUCAACAAGGCUCUGGAGUACUACACUACCACCUACGUUACUCCAGCUCACUAAACCGUGAUUCCCAAGUACUACACCAAUGAACCACCUGAGUACUACACGACUACGUAUGCUGUCUUGCCUCAACCUACUACACCGAGACUCCAAAGUAUUACUCUGCAUCAGUUACUACACCGAGGUUCCUACUUAUUUCACUACCUGAGAAGUUGAGCAUUACGACGAAGUGUUUAGUAUUACUCUUCCCCGAGUUACACAAUCACAACGGAGGUGGUGGUGUACUUCGUAGCCAAAUAACACAGCUGCUCCUUCCUACUAAAUUGAACUACAAUACUACAUCGAGACUCCAGUUUACUACACCAGAACCUACGCUACAUCUAACUACUACACUUAAACUACUGCAAUCUUCUUCGUAGCAUCAGUUCGCAUUCAUUGGUAAAUUAUGGUGAAAUGUUGCUUUUGGAUGUUACAACGUUGAUGGUUGGGUCAACAAUUAGUGGACCGAUAACUGGGGAUAUGGCGAAUAUUAAAGCACAACACAUCCAUCUUGUUAAUCAGUAUCAGCCAACACAUCUCCAGCUUACUUAUUCAUCACCAGUUUGCAAUCAUAGAAUACUGCUAUUCUGAUUGUUCAAAUUCUACGCCAACCAACCUCCAGAAUAUAACACUGCAAGUUUUACUGGUCCAGUAAAAAUUCGCCAGGUUACAAAUACUUCCUCAACGUCCAAAUACUACAUUAUUUAUGGUAAAAAUAUUAC